rnacentral:sRNA from 1 species
GCCCAAUUUCGCACGUGCCUGUGGUCGCGUGUCGGUCGGUAGGUAGCGGGACAAGAGGCCCGCCAGCCGCCUGGGGAGACCAAGCUCUCUGCGGAGAGUCUCUCCAAGAAAUCUGACCGGCAGCCGGAGGCGAAACCGGCGUACUCAGUUCUCCGCUGAGGACGCGACUUAAAGCAACGACGGAGCGGGCUUUU